rnacentral:sRNA from 1 species
UCAAAAAUUGUAUUUCAAAUCGUGGUCAC